rnacentral:rRNA from 1 species
GACGAACGCUGGCGGCGUGCUUAACACAUGCAAGUCGAACGGAAAGGCCCUGCUUUUGUGGGGUGCUCGAGUGGCGAACGGGUGAGUAACACGUGAGUAACCUGCCCUUGACUUUGGGAUAACUUCAGGAAACUGGGGCUAAUACCGGAUAGGAGCUCCUGCUGCAUGGUGGGGGUUGGAAAGUUUCGGCGGUUGGGGAUGGACUCGCGGCUUAUCAGCUUGUUGGUGGGGUAGUGGCUUACCAAGGCUUUGACGGGUAGCCGGCCUGAGAGGGUGACCGGCGACAUUGGGCCUGAGAUACGGCCCAGACUCCUACGGGAGGCAGCAGUGGGGAAUAUUGCACAAUGGGCGGAAGCCUGAUGCAGCAACGCCGCGUGCGGGAUGACGGCCUUCGGGUUGUAAACCGCUUUCGCCUGUGACGAAGCGUGAGUGACGGUAAUGGGUAAAGAAGCACCGGCUAACUACGUG